CGGCAGAAGCUCGGUGUCACCCUCUGUGUGUGUGUGUGUGUGUGUGGGUGUGUGUGUGUGUGUGUUUUUCACGCCAUUCCGGAGUGUCCCUUCACGUUGGACGUCCCGCAAACUUCCAUGUUCGGAGAUGACAAUUUAAUCACUGUUGACUCUUUGUGGAAAAGUCAAUGACUAAGAGGACAUGAAGUGAGAGGAGCAACGUUUAAAGGGGAUGUGCCGGGCAGGGUGGCCACUCGCACCCCGGCCACUCCCUCCUCUCCCCUCUCCCAUCGGUCAAAAGAUGCUGCUGCACCCGCUGAGUUUCUCCAGCAUUUUUGUCUACCUUCAACUAAGAGACCUCCCACGUUUAACUGGAAGGAUUCGCCAAUAUAGAAAAUAACAUGGAAAGUCAUCCGUGUUUCCCCACCCUCGGCCGAUGCCCCUGUCGUUAGACAAAACAGGAUGGUGCCGCGGCGCGCUGGGAUUAAUUUAACAUCACCGCACCAACAAUGUAGAAGGCGUUCGGGGCCCGUGUACAUAAGGUGGCAAAUAUUUGCCAUGUUUCAGACACAUUCCACUCCGCCCCCGACACAACUCGCAAACUUCCAUCUCCUUUUAACACACCAAACCAAACCAACAUCCGCGGGGAGAGAAAUAUUCAGAUCAAAAACGUCAGCCAGUGAAAUAUAAGUCAAGAAUGUUUUAUUACCAUAUGUCCCAGAUAGAACAAUGACCUGUCGCAGUAUAGCAGAAUAUGUAAUCAUAGUACACUGUA